rnacentral:ncRNA from 2 species
CAUUGCGAUGGUCCCUGCGGAUGC